AUUGAACGCUGGCGGCAGGCCUAACACAUGCAAGUCGAACGAGUGGCGGACGGGUGAGUAAUGUCUGGGAAACUGCCUGAUGGAGGGGGAUAACUACUGGAAACGGUAGCUAAUACCGCAUACACUCGGAUGUGCCCAGAUGGGCUUAGCUAGUAGGGGCGGUAAUGGCUCACCUAGGCGACGAUCCCUAGCUGGUCUGAGAGGAUGACCAGCAAAACUGGAACGGAGACACGGUCCAGACUCCUACGGGAGGCAGCAGUGGGGAAUAUUGCACAAUGGGCGCAAGCCUGAUACAGCCAUGCCGCGUGUGUGAAGAAGGCCUUCGGGUUGUAAAGCACUUUCAGCGAGGAGGCGUUACUCUCAGAAGAAGCACCGGCUAACUCCGUGCCAGCCGCCGCGGUAAUAC
rnacentral:rRNA from 1 species